rnacentral:rRNA from 1 species
CAAUACUUGAGCUAGAGUGUCGUACGGGUGCGUAACACGUAUGCAACCUACCUUUACAGGAGUAUAGCUCCCCGAAAGGGGAAUUAACCCUCCAUAAUAUCAUUGGAUGGCAUCAUUUGAUGAUUAAAACUGAGGUGGUAAAAGAUGGGCAUGCGUCUGAUUAGUUAGUUGGCAGUGUAACGGACUACCAAGACGAUGAUCAGUAGGGGACCUGAGAGGGUGAUCCCCCACACUGGCACUGAGAUACGGGCCAGACUCCUACGGGAGGCAGCAGUAGGGAAUAUUGGACAAUGGGUGAGAGCCUGAUCCAGCCAUGCCGCGUGCAGGAAGAAGGCGUUAUGCGUUGUAAACUGCUUUUGCCAGGGGAUAAAACGGUUCUGCGGAACUAAUUGAAGGUACCUGGUGAAUAAGCCACGGCUAACUACGUGCCAGCAACCGCGGUAAUACGUAGGUGGCAAGCGUUGUCCGGAUUUAUUGGGUUUAAAGGGUGCGUAGGCGGCCCUGUAAGUCAGUGCUGAAAUAUCCCGGCUUAACCGGGAGGGUGGCAUUGAUACUGCAGGGCUUGAGUACAGAUGAGGUAGGCGGAAUUGACGGUGUAGCGGUGAAAUGCAUAGAUAUCGUCAAGAACACCGAUAGCGAAGGCAGCUUACCAAGCUGUAACUGACGCUGAGGCACGAAAGUGUGGGGAUCAAACAGGAUUAGACACCCUGGUAGUCCACACUGUAAACGUUGAUGACUCGAUGUUGGCGAUAUACAGCCAGCGUCCAAGAGCAAUCGUUAAGUCAUCCACCUGGGGAGUA